rnacentral:tRNA from 1 species
GCUCAGUGGCCGAGUGCCCUGAGCCCAAUCCCCGGCACUCACACACACACACACACACACGACCGAGCGGGCUGGGCUGUGCUCAGGGCAGAGCGCUCGCCGGGCACGUGUGAGGCGCUGGGUUCGAUCCUCAGCACAGCAUUAAAAAAAAAGCAAAACAAGGCGCGCCGUCCAUCUACGACUACUGCAGACGGCGGGCCGCAGACCCGGCCGGGCGGGCGCCUUUGCUACGGCGGGUGCGCAGCGGCCUGCGCCGCUCGCCGUGCAGAGCCGAGCCCCGGGCAGGUGAGCUCCGCGGGCAGGUGCGCCCGCAGCCGCAGGGCCGCGCCGCCCCUCUCCGCACAGCGGCGGCAGAGCCUUUGCUGGGUCAGUCGGGCGUCGGGCAGAUUCGAACGCCCAAGCUGCCAGCGCCGCCAGCGCCGCGGGGCCGAGCCCUGGCCAGCGGCGGGAGGCCGCGCGGUCGGCCUGCUCUGCUGCAAGGUCUGCGGCGCGGGGCCGCCGCCACGGAGCCUCGUUAGCGCAGUAGGUAGCGCGUCAGUCUCAUAAUCUGAAGGUCGUGAGUUCGAUCCUCACACGGGGCAACCGCCUCCUUUUGUUUCCGACAGCGGUGACUCUUUUCGCGAGCCUCGGGGCCGCAGGCCUCCGGGUCCUGGGGUCCUGCGUUCCCGGGUCUCAGGUACCAGUCUGCUGGCGGCGGUCCAGGUCGCCCACACAGCAGGAUUUCUCGCAGGCGGGGCCCGCGCCACUAAGAGGUGUGG